rnacentral:lncRNA from 1 species
GCUUUGAUGAUCAAGGAGGCCCAGAAUCAUUGCUCCAUGGAGACCAUCAUUCUAUUCUACUGGCUCCAAAAUGAGUUUAACCAAUCUGGACACUUAGACGUUGUCAUCACUUUCUCACCUUUAAUAUCAUCAAUAUUAGUAACACUGUCAUAGAAUACUGGGAAAGUAGAAAAUAAAACGUCCAGGCCCAGUGGCGCACACCUGUAAUCCCAACAGUUUGGGGUGGAUUGCUUGAGCCCAGGAGUUGAAGACCAGCCUGGGCAACAUGGCAAAACCCUGUCUCUACAAAAAAAUAAAAAAUAAAUAGCCUGGUGUAGUGGCACGUGCCUGUACUCUCAACUACUCAAGAGGCUGAGGUGGGAAGAUCGCUUGAGCCCAGGAGAACAAGGCUGCAGUGAGCCAUGUUCGCACCACUGCACCCCAGCCUGGGUGACACAAUGAGACCCUGUCUCAAAAAAAUAAAUAAAAUUAAAUACAUCUUUAUAGAACUCAUUUAAAUUCUCAACCCUUUUAAAACAAGUUCUUAAUUAUUUUACCCAUUGGAAUCUUUUGCCUCAUCUCUGCAAAAUGUCAACUAAUUCUCUUCAUGAAAUUCCAGACUGUAAAUACAGGUUUUUCUACGCAAAAAAAAAAAAAGGCUGGGAGCAGUGGCUCAUGCCUGUAAUCCCAGCACUUUGGGAGGCCAAGGUGGGCGGAUCAUCUGAGGUCAGGAGUUUGAGACCAGCCUGGCCAACGUGGUGAAAACCCAUCUCUACGAAAAAUACAAAAAUUAGCUGGGCAUGGUGGCAUGCACCUGUAAUCCCAGCUAUUAGUAGGUGCUGAGGCAGGAGACUCGCUUGAACCCUGGAGGCAGAGGUUGCAGUGAGCUGAGAUCACACCACUACACUCCAGCCUGGGCAACAGAGUGAGACUCCCUUUCAAAAAAAAAAAAAGAGUCUCUUAUUCUCUGUAGACCUCAAUUUCCUCAUCUUUGCAAUGAAGGGGUUGGACAAGAUAAUCAAGCCCCUCUAGUUAUUUUAGUUUUUUUGGCUCAUUCUUUAUUUCUUUAUUUAUUUAUUUGAGACAGAGUUUCACUCU